AUACGUAGGGGGCGAGCGUUAUCCGGAAUUAUUGGGCGUAAAGAGUGCGUAGGUGGUUAUUUAAGCGUGUGGUGAAAGGCAAUAGCUCAACUAUUGUAAGCCUUGCGAACUGGAUAACUUGAGUGCAGGAGAGGAAAGCGGAAUUCCUAGUGUAGCGGUGAAAUGCGUAGAUAUUAGGAGGAACACCAGUGGCGAAGGCGGCUUUCUGGACUGUAACUGACACUGAGGCACGAAAGCGUGGGGAGC
rnacentral:rRNA from 1 species